GUAUGAGUUAGUGGCGGACGGGUGAGUGACGCGUGGAAAACCUGCCGUAUACUGGGGGAUAACACUUAGAAAUAGGUGCUAAUACCGCAUAAGCGCACAGCUUCGCAUGAAGCAGUGUGAAAAACUGAGGUGGUAUACGAUGGUUCCGCGUCUGAUUAGCUAGUUGGUGGGGUAAAAGCCUACCAAGGCAACGAUCAGUAGCCGACCUGAGAGGGUGAACGGCCACAUUGGGACUGAGACACGGCCCAAACUCCUACGGGAGGCAGCAGUGGGGAAUAUUGCACAAUGGGGGAAACCCUGAUGCAGCGACGCCGCGUGAGUGAAGAAGUAUUUCGGUAUGUAAAGCUCUAUCAGCAGGGAAGAAAUACUGACCAUAGGGUCAGCAGACGGUACUUGACUAAGAAGCCCCGGCUAACUACGUGCCAGCAGCCGCGGUAAUACGUAGGGGGCAAGCGUUAUCCGGAUUUACUGGGUGUAAAGGGAGCGUAGACGGCAGCGCAAGUCUGAAGUGAAAUGCCAGGGCUUAACCCUGGAACUGCUUUGGAAACUGUGCAGCUAGAGUGCAGGAGAGGUAAGUGGAAUUUCUAGUGUAGCGGUGAAAUGCGUAGAUAUUAGGAGGAACACCAGUGGCGAAGGCGGCUUACUGGACUGUAACUGACGUUGAGGCUCGAAAGCGUGGGGAGCAAACAGGAUUAGAUACCCUGGUAGUCCACGCUGUAAACGAUGAUUACUAGGUGUUGGGGGACCAAGGUUCUUCGGUGCCGUCGCAAACGCAAUAAGUAAUCCACCUGGGGAGUACGUUCGCAAGAAUGAAACUCAAAGGAAUUGACGGGGACCCGCACAAGCGGUGGAGCAUGUGGUUUAAU
rnacentral:rRNA from 1 species